GAUGAACGCUGGCGGCGUGCCUAAUACAUGCCAGUCGAGCGAACAGACGAGGAGCUUGCUCCUCUGACGUUAGCGGCGGACGGGUGAGUAACACGUGGAUAACCUACCUAUAAGACUGGGAUAACUUCGGGAAACCGGAGCUAAUACCGGAUAAUAUAUUGAACCGCAUGGUUCAAUAGUGAAAGACGGUUUUGCUGUCACUUAUAGAUGGAUCCGCGCCGCAUUAGCUAGUUGGUAAGGUAACGGCUUACCAAGGCAACGAUGCGUAGCCGACCUGAGAGGGUGAUCGGCCACACUGGAACUGAGACACGGUCCAGACUCCUACGGGAGGCAGCAGUAGGGAAUCUUCCGCAAUGGGCGAAAGCUUGACGGAGCAACGCCGCGUGAGUGAUGAAGGUCUUCGGAUCGUAAAACUCUGUUAUUAGGGAAGAAUAAAUGUGUAAGUAACUAUGCACGUCUUGACGGUACCUAAUCAGAAAGCCACGGCUAACUACGUG
rnacentral:rRNA from 1 species